CUAGUCCUAGUGGGUAUUUUAUGCCGCUUACGGAAGGAAACGGUAGCGCUAUCUGUUGACAUUCAAGGGAUGUAUCAUCAGUUUUAUGUAAACGAAAAGUUCCGAGAUUUCCUCAGAUUCUUAUGGUGGGAAGAGAACGAUCCGAACAAAGCGGUAUGUGAAUACCGGAUGAAAGUACACAUAUUCGGCGCUGUGAGUUCGCCGGCUUGUGCCAAUUUUGGACUCCGAAGAGCUGCUGACGACGGCGAAGCAGAGUUCGGUAAAGAUGCAGCUGACUUCAUACGUCAAGACUUCUACGUGGAUGACGGUGUGACUUCGGUAGAAAACAGCGACACUUCUAUUUCUCUCCUUAACAGAUGCAAAGUUAAAUGACGCCCCUCUUACCAGGCGGGGCAUUUUAUCCACAAUCAGUUCGUUGUAUGACCCGCUUUCCUUCAUUGGACCAGUGAUGUUGGAAGGAAAACGCAUCUUACAGGCUGUUACAGCAACUGUGUAGAGACAAGGUGGAUUGGGACGACGAGCUGUCGCACGAAAUGAGAAUGCGAUGGGAGAAAUGGAGAAAUAAGCUCGUACACUUGGGCGAUAUCACAGUAAAGAGAUGUUUCCAUCCGCACGGGUUUGGUAAGAUUAAAAGCGUUGAGUUGCAUCAUUUUUCGGAUGCCAGCACUAUAGGAUAUGGUCAAUGUUCAUACAUUCGACUGACAAAUGUUUUAAACAAGGUCUGAUGUGCCUUUGUUAUAGGUAAAUCUAGAGUGGCUCCCUUGAAACCUGUAACAGUGCCCAGGAUGGAACUAACCGCGGCCGUCGUCUCGGCAAGAAUGAGUCGGUAUCUACGAGAUCACAUACGAUUUAAUGAUUACGACGAGUACUUUUGGACGGACAGUAAAGUGGUGCUCGGCUACAUCGGCAACGACGCUCGCAAAUUUCAAACUUUCGUGGCUAAUCGGCUUCAGACGAUUAAAGAAAACACAAAUGAACAUGAAUGGAGGUACGUAAAAACUGAAGAAAACCCAAGUGACUGUGCAAGUAGGGGAAUGAAACCAGAAGACCUCACUAUGAAUUCGAUCUGGUUACGAGGCCCUAACUUUCUGUGGGAAAGUUCUACGAAUCUUCAACGGUGUUUCGUGAACCACGAUCCUGAAGUCAUGAAAGGAAUCCAAUUAGAGAUGAAAAAGGGAGUGGUACUCAAAACUAUAGCCGGGUUUGGGGUGAGUGACUUAGGGAAUAGAUUGGUGCAUGUGUCUACUUGGCAUAAGGCUAAAAGGGCAGUGGCUAACUGCGUUGCUUGGAAACUAAAACGUCGACAAGAUCAAAACUUAAAGGUCGGGCGUUCUCAAUCACUUGACGCAGAAAGGCGUAUAAUCCGAAGUAUUCAACAUUUAUAUUUUUUAGCGGAAAUACAAACAUUAACUUUUGCCUCCGAACGUGGUAACCAGCGGGAAACGUCGAAGAGAACCAAACAGAAACUCAAACGCCAAAGUUCGUUAUAUCGGUUGGAUCCCUUUCUAGACAACGAAGAAAUGCUAAGAGUCGAUUACGCAACUCUAGCUUGACAUACGACGUGGGACAUCCUGUGAUCAUACCCAAGAACCAUCAUAUAACAAACCUGAUAAUUCGUCAUUGCCACAAUCUGGUGCAUCAUAUGGGAAGAUCAGCAACGCACAAUUGCACGAGACAACAAGGGUACUGGAUCAUAAACGGUUCGUCAUCAGUUGCUAAUUAUAUUAGAAAAUGUAUACUUUGUCGUAGACUUCGUGGGUCGUUACAAAUUCAAAAGAUGGCAGAUUUGCCGUGCGACAGAUUUAACGAAGGGGGGGCGUUUUCCUUUUCGGGUAUGGACUACUUUGAGCCGUUCGUGGUUAAAGAAAAACGUUCUUUGGUUAAAAGAUAUGGCGUGUUGUUCACAUGUUUGUCUUCCAGGGCUAUCCAUAUCAAAACUGCGAAUUCGUUGGAUACGAGUUCAUGUAUUAACGCCCUAAGACGUUUUGUUGCAAGGCGGGGACCGGUUAUUCAAAUUCGAUCGGAUUGUGGAACCAAUAUCGUCGGCGCAAGAAUUGACCUCCAGUCGUGCCAACCCGAUCAAAACGAAAUACAGCGUUUUCUGUUGCAACAUGAAUGCGAUUUGGUCUCCUUCAAAUUUAAUGUCCCGCACGCCAGCCAUAUCGGUGGUGUGUGGGAGCGACAAAUUUAAACUGUAAAGCGAGUUCUUGCCAGUUUGUUAUUGCAGAAUAGUUCUCAACUGGACGAUGAGACGUUCCGGACCUUCAUGACGGAGGUUGAGAAUGUCGUCAACUCGCGACCAUUCACGAUCGACGCCAUGAGUCAAUCCGACAGCCCGGAACCGCUCACUCCAAAUCACAUAUUGACGAUGAAGAAGCGACCGUUAUUGAGCCCGAGAGGAGUUUUCCAGAAAACCGACCUUUACCUGAAGAAACGAUGGAGAAGGGUGCAAUAUCUAACCAAUCAAUUUUGGACCAGAUGGAGAAAAGAGUUUCUACAAACUUUGCAGGUACGAAAGAAAUGGCAAGGGCGGUACCCGAGCGAAGAUGGUAUGAUACGAAAGGUGAAACUGACGGUCACUUAAGGGGAUCGAGACAAGCAGGGCAAAAAACGAAAACUCCUUCUGUGCUCGAGAGACCAAUCCACAAUUAGUGCUAUUGGUGGAGAAUGACGAUUCCCGGACGGGGAGCCAAACAUCUUCGCGAGAGCGACGAAAGGCUGUAUUCGUUUUUGUUUAUUUUAACUGCUGGUUAUGUGUGUAUAUAAGGGCCUUUUUUGGGACGAGUUGCCACUAGCUCUGUGUUAUUUUAAAAUUCGUGCAAUUUUGGGGAGCCAUGUGACUGCGGUACAGUCUGUUUCGAGAUUAUCCACGUGACGUAAUACUUCGUUUACAUUGUUUCUGUGUUUUGACCUUAUUUUCGUUGGCUUCGCGUUAGUCUUUUAUUACAACCGUUGGUGGACGGAGGUUACGUUGCUGCUGUGUGCGGCCGGGUUGCAUUUAAUAGAGACGUCGUUGGACGACUUAUCUCCUUUGCGUCGACAUAUCGCUCUCCUACGUAGAAUUAUUUCAGUUACCGCGAGCCUUCCAAUAAACUCGAUUAAAACAAGAGGGUUCGGGUGUGAACUGACUACGUACAGCGCAGAGUGUUGAGUGGCCCGGGAGCAGGUCGCCGCCGCUACAGAUAUUAUGCGCAAAAGGUGUCCCAUCUUCCCCCAUCCUACUAUAUAUUGAACCGAAAGAUCAACACUAAAGUAAUCAUUCUGUUACUUCUGCUACCAGGCAUAGUACAAACAAUAUAUCAGUGGCUACUACAAGCGAAAAGCAGAAAAGGUGAGAAAAAGGCGAUAUUAACGUGAUAAGGGCACUGUAAGGAAGAGACGGUGAGAGUAAUCUUUUCAAACGCUAAGCGACAUUUCUAAGACUUAUUUACACAAGGUAGGCAUUGUCGACGUUGGGAAGCUAAUGUAACUUUAUUUGUUAUAAAGAAACACAAUAUACAGUUACCUUAUAAAACAUCUCUUCCACAAUACAACAACAAUAACGUGUGGC